rnacentral:rRNA from 1 species
UACGAAGGGAGCUAGCGUUGUUCGGAAUCACUGGGCGUAAAGCGCACGUAGGCGGAUUUGUCAGUCAGGGGUGAAAUCCCGGGGCUCAACCUCGGAACUGCCUUUGAUACUGGGUAACUGGAGUGUGGUAGAGGGUAGUGGAAUUUCCGGUGUAGCGGUGAAAUGCGUAGAUAUCCGGAAGAACACCGGUGGCGAAGGCGGCCUGCUGGGCAGUAGCUGACACUGAGGCGCGACAGCGUGGGGAGCAAACAGG